GCCUCCGUAGCUUAACAAAAGCACUG
rnacentral:tRNA from 1 species